GAGAGUCACCAACUACUGCUCCUCUUCUCUUCUCCCUUUGACCCCCGGAUUAUAACUUCUGUGACUCUACUAUAUUAUUCUUUGGAUGACAAGGAAUUGCUCUUCUUCCUCAGAGCCUCCAGCUUCCUCUCUCUUCAGAAAGGGAGGGAGCUUCACCUAACCUGUGGAGCACAGUUCCUUGAUUAUGGCAGAAAUACAAGGAACAGCACACUGAAUAAUUAUGGCAUCUCAAGGUUGGAAGGAACCUCGGAGAACAUCUCUCAAACCUGGACCUGAACAAGAAUCCUGUCUCCAUCAUACCUGUCAAGUGGUCAUCACUAGCUUUUGUCUCAAGCCUCUCCUCCACCUUCUCCUAGCAGUGCAUUUUACUUUUGAAUAGUUUUAAUCAUUGCAAAUUCUUAUCUUAUAUAAAACCUAAAUUUGGCCCUUUAAAGCUUCUAUCCAUUGUUUUUAGCUUAGUCCUCUGGGGCUAACUGGAGAAAGUUUAAUUCUUCUUUCAUGUGCUACCCCCUGAAGUACUUGAAGACAGCUAUCAUGCCUCCCUACGAGGCUUCUGUUGGCUAAUCGAUCCUUAUAUGGCAUGAAAUAAGGAGGUCAUUCUGGUUGCCCUCCUCGGUAUCCAGUGGUUUUUUUUUCUUUCAAUAUUGAAGUAUUUGCCCAACAUCUGUUGCAUGCACACACUAUGAAAAGGUCAGGUUGUAGAGGGAAGCCAACAAUGCCUCUUAAAAAUCUGGGACCAGAGCCAUUUGCAGAAAUUUGUACAAGUCCAGCCUCAGAGAUGGUCAUGGGGCACAUAAUAAUAUGCAAGCCAACCAGAAUUUAAUACUGGAAGAGGAGGCCUCUCUAGUUCUCUGUUUUUAUCCAUGUCACUGGUUAAGCUAUAUAUAGUACAGCAUCACACAAGCUAGUGUUAGCUUUGACUAGUUGUUUGGACUGGUCCUGGGUUAUAGGCCAGUAUAUCAGUGACAGGGAACUCUAAACCUGAAGCUUCAUGGUGUAGUGGAAAGAGUACUGGAUUUGGAGUCUAAAGGACCUGGGUUCAGGUCCUGAUUUUGCUAUUUGUGACCCCUGUACAAAUUAUUUAAACUCUCUGCACCCUAGUUCCUCUGUAAAACCAGGGGGUUGGACUCUUUCAGCUAUAGAUCUGUGAUACUGGGAAUGAUGAGACUUCUUCCCUCUGUUGAUUCAACAAAAGAUCAAGUUGGAAGUAUCUGAGGAUGCUGACUGGGUACUGCUGCUGUGGAAAUGUCAAAGCCAGAGCAGAUGUUUGAAAAUCCUUCGACUUAGGCUUAGUAUUGUAUUACCUUGAAAGGCUCCUCUGGGUUUGCAACCCUUUCCAAUAGUCUUUAACUGGAUUUAGGGCCAGAGGACGUCGGUUUGCAUCCUGGCUCUGACUCUCAUGACCUGUCUGACCUUGGGCAAAGCACCUUUUCCCUCUGGGCCUCAGUUGCCUUCACAAAAUGAAGGUCUUGGCCUAGAUGAUUUCUAAGGCCUCUUUUAGGUCUAAAUCUAUGAUCCUAUAAUCUGGUCUGCUCAACUCUAGUUUCCCUCCUUCACCAAAACGUUCUUUCCACCAAGGAGAGGUUAAUCUUUAUGGAUGCUUCUGAUCACAUUACUUUUCUGCUCACAUUCCUUUGAUGACUCAUUUUUGUUUACCAAACACCCCUUUGAUGGCUUCCUUUUGUUUACCAAAUAAAAUCCAAAUUCUUUAGCUUCCCAUUCAAAGUCCUCUGUAAUUUUCCAACUUCUUAAAUUUCCAGCCUUAUCUUGCAUUAAUUAAUCUUUUCCCCUUGUACAUG